AUGGCGAGACGCAGACGGCAGCCAGUGGGAAAGACGCAACUAAGAAAGAUAACUACAGGAGCUUGCUGCAUUGCAGCCGCUCGGCUCCUCACUCCCAACAAUGGCGGCUCCGGGGGCGGCAGCGGCAGCGGGACCCCGGGCCCGAUAGGGUCCCCGGCGCCGGGUCACCCGGCCGUCAGCAGCAUGCAGGGUAAACGCAAAGCACUGAAGUUGAAUUUUGCAAACCCACCUGUCAAAUCUACAGCAAGGUUUACUCUGAAUCCCAAUACAACAGGAGUCCAAAACCCACACAUAGAAUACGGUCAACGGUGGAUGAAAAAGAACAAAAGCAACUACUUAUGGAUUUGGAUGUAGUAAUGCGGAGUAGUGACUGCCCAUACAUUGUUCAGUUUUAUGGUGCACUCUUCAGAGAGGGUGACUGUUGGAUCUGUAUGGAACUCAUGUCUACCUCGUUUGAUAAGUUUUACAAAUAUGUAUAUAGUGUAUUAGAUGAUGUUAUUCCAGAAGAAAUUUUAGGCAAAAUCACUUUAGCAACUGUGAAAGUACUAAACCACUUAAAAGAAAACUUGAAAAUUAUUCACAGAGGUAUCAAACCUUCAAAUAUUCUUCUGGAUAGAAGUGGAAAUAUUAAACUCUGUGACUUUGGCAUCAGUGGACAGCUCGUGGACUCCAUUGCCAAGACAAGGGAUGCUCGGUGUAGGCCAUAUAUGGCACCUGAAAGAAUAGACCCUAGUGCAUCUCUACAAGGAUAUGAUGUCCGCUCUGAUGUCUGGAGUUUGGGGAUCACAUUGUAUGAGUUGGCUACAGGCCAAUUUCCUUAUCCAAAGUGGAAUAGUGUAUUUGAUCAACUAACACAAGUCGUGAAAGGAGAUCCCCCACAGCUGAGUAAUUCUGAGGAAAGAGAAUUCUCCCCAAGUUUCAUCAAUUUUGUCAACUUGGUCGCCUGCUCGGCGUCCCGUCUUUUCUGA